CACGUACUCCCUCCGUUCAGAAUUACUUGUCUCGGAAAUGGAUAUAUCUAGAAUUAAAAUAUGUCUAGAUACAUCCGUUUCUGCGACAAGUAAUUUCGAACGGAGGGAGUACGAG
rnacentral:pre_miRNA from 1 species